rnacentral:rRNA from 1 species
UUGAAAGGGAAACGAUUGAAGUCAGUCGUACCGACGAGAAAUCAACUUAUCGUGUGCGAACUUGUGGGCGUGCGUGAGUUUCGGCCUCGCUGUUUGCAUGUUUGUGCGUUUUGGGUGUACUUUUUCGUAUGGUAGGCCAACGUCAGUUUCGAUUAUCAUAAAAUGACCGGCGGAAUGUAGCUUCGAUUUCGGUUGAAGUGUUAUAGCCUCUGGUAGAUGUGGUGAUUGAGACUGAGGAUUGCAACGAAUACCCUUUGGGCUAUCCGUCUGGCCUCUGAAAGUUGCUCAGGUGCCGAAAGCGUGCUUACGGUUAUCUAAGAUAACGUUCAACAGGUUAGAACGUGAUUACAUUCGUUAAGGAUGUUG